rnacentral:tRNA from 1 species
GCGCAAGUGGCGGAAUUGGCAGACGCGCAGGAUUUAGGUUCCUGUGCCUUCGGGUGUGCGGGUUCAAGUCCCGCCUUGCGCA